GUGUUGUAUGAAAGGAGAGAAUGUUAGCACUCCUUUUGGCAAGGAUGGAAGAGAUUCUAGUGGCCUUUACAAUACAUAUAUGGUUAAAGCAUUACUACCUACUCUGUGACAUCUAAACUUCUCU